ACUACAUUCGGAUCGUCUGUUUAUCGAGCAAUAUCACCCGCUCAGUGAAAGAUCUUUCCUUUGUCGU
rnacentral:pre_miRNA from 1 species